rnacentral:rRNA from 1 species
GAUGAACGCUGGCGGCGUGCCUAAUACAUGCAAGUCGAACGGCAAAGCAAGGAGCUUGCUCUUUUCCGGUUAGCGGCUGACGGGUGAGUAACGCGUAGAUAACCUGCUACUUAGUCGUGGAUAACUACGGGGAACGACAGCCACUACUGCAUAAUACUAGAUACGGCAUGAUGCAUACGUAAAAGGGGCAUUUGCCGAAUUACUGAGCCGAUGUCCGAUUAGCUAGUUGGUUGGGUAAGGGACCACCAAGCGAACGAUCCGUAGCUGGCCUGAGAGGAUGAUCGGCCACACUGGAACUGAGACACGGUCCAGACUCCUACGGGAGGCAGCAGUGGGGAAUAUUGGACAAUGGGCGAAAGCCUGACGGAGCAAUACCGCGUGGGUGAAGAAGGUCUUCGGUUCGUAAAGCCCUUUUUUUGGGAAAGAAGAGAAGUAGAUUAAAACAUUCACGUUUUGACGGUACCUAAACAGAAAGCAACGGCUAACUACGUG